UGACAUUGGUAGUACAAUUAAAUCGUUUGCGUGAUUCACACAAUAAUAAAAAGUCCCAAAAAAACUUUAUUAUUCUAAAAACUUUUAAAAACUAGUUCCUUUCCACAACGUUGCCGGUCCAUUUUGACCUGUUUUAGGCCCUAUAAAGUACUCUUUACCCUCAAUAGAAAAUGUGUUGCGGACCUUGUGGUGGUUGCUGCGGCGGUUGCUGCGGUGGUUGCUGUUGCCCAUGCAUCACUAUCUACACUUGCUGCACGAAGAUUUGCUAGUCGCACACGAGAUUUUGCGCGGACAAGCCAUGGUGUCUGCGUCGAAAUCGGCGCUUGAACGCCUUCAUGUUUGUCUUCGAAGUCAAUCCGUGCCGUUUUGUGGAAAUAAACUACUAUAAAUAAGCGUA